GUACCCGCUGAACUUAAGCAUAUCAAUAAGCGGAGGAAAAGAAACCAACUGGGAUUGCCUUAGUAACGGCGAGUGAAGCGGCAAUAGCUCAAAUUUGAAAGCUGGCUCCUUCGGAGUCCGCGUUGUAAUUUGUAGAGGAUGCUUCGGCGAGGGCUCCCGCCUAAGUCCCCUGGAACGGGGCGUCAUAGAGGGUGAGAAUCCCGUAUGCGGUGGGUUGCCUUAGCCAUGUGAAGCUCCUUCGACGAGUCGAGUUGUUUGGGAAUGCAGCUCUAAAUGGGAGGUAAAUUUCUUCUAAAGCUAAAUACCGGCCAGAGACCGAUAGCGCACAAGUAGAGUGAUCGAAAGAUGAAAAGCACUUUGGAAAGAGAGUUAAAAAGUACGUGAAAUUGUUGAAAGGGAAGCGCUUGCAGCCAGACUUGUCCGCAGUUGCUCAGCCGGUCUCCUGACCGGCGUACUCUUCUGCGGCCAGGCCAGCAUCAGUUCGGGCGGUCGGAUAAAGGUUCUGGGAAUGUGGCUCCUCUCGGGGAGUGUUAUAGCCCAGUUCGCAAUGCGACCAGCCUGGACUGAGGAUCUCGCUUCGGCUAGGAUGCUGGCGUAAUGGCUGUAAGCGGCCCGUCUUGAAACACGGACCAAGGAGUCUAACAUCUAUGCGAGUGUUUGGGUGUCAAACCCAUGCGCGUAAUGAAAGUGAACGGAGGUGGGAACCCUCACGGGUGCACCAUCGACCGAUCCUGAUGUCUUCGGAUGGAUUUGAGUAAGAGCAUAGCUGUUGGGACCCGAAAGAUGGUGAACUAUGCCUGAAUAGGGUGAAGCCAGAGGAAACUCU
rnacentral:rRNA from 1 species